ACAGAGUAAACUGGGCAGAGUUUCCAUUAGGAGCUUGCCUUGCUCUGUCUAUGACCAGCAGUCUAAGGAACGGCUGAGUUAGCAUAUAGGCAGGAAGGCAGUUUCACAGAUAACACUAAUUUGCUCGAUUACCAGUGUCUCCCAGAUAAUACUUACCUGAACAUUCUCAGGAUGAAUGAGCAGGACUCAGGGACUGAAUGGCUGUGCUACUUGAAAGAGAAGAGAUGCUUUCCUGUUUUGCCUUCUCAACACCCCAGCCACCUUUUCAGACAUAGAAAGUCCUACCCAGCAGUGUGACCUCCUAAGGACUUAACCAGACUUCUCCAGGGAGGCUUAAUUCUUCCAUGAGGAGGCUGACACGUUCUGAAGAUGCCCCCAAAUCAGACAAGGGAGUGGACCAAGCCUCAUUUCCAAGCACUGGAAACUUUUACCACCCGCCACUCUGAAAUAUGUGGAACCAGGAGUCAUCAGAAGGCACUUGUAGCAGCGUUGGAUUAGGUGGCUUCUGAGGCUGCCCAAAUGGCGGGUGGCUUCUGCCUAGCCAAGGUACCCUGCACACUCCUCUCCACUGUAUUCACCCCUUCCUUACGAUGAUGGACUCUGUGAUCUGUGUGCAGGGGCUUCACCUAGGAAACAGCACAUUGAAUGCUUAUG